CGAAACAACUCAAAUUAAAGAUAAAAAGUACGCAAAAUGAAGUACUUCUCCAGCACUACUGUUUUGCAUAAUAUUCUAUUCUAACUUUUAAAUACUUUUAACUCAAUAUUGAGGUUAAUCCAAAACUACUUACUUUUAAGUUAAUUGAUUGUUGGCGUUCUGUUUUGAUUUUGUUUUGCUCCCCAUUCACAAAAGUAUCCAAAAUCAAGUGUUGAUCCAGUACUCGGUUUUGGAUGAAAAUUUUAAUUGAACGACAUUUACUGAUUGAGUGAAACUGUUUUAUGGAAAAUACUGAACAUUCGACGAUUUGCCGAGGGACCAAAAUCUCCUGUCAAACAUCCUGGGAAACAUUGAAAUCACCACUUUUCCGGAAACCUAAAUUUCAUCCAAAAAGCUUCGCAUCUCCACCGGCAUGUUAGUGUAAAUGAAAACUUCUGGCAGUCAGCGGAGUACCGACGGGAAUUCGGAUGUUUAACGGUGUAUGGAGGAACCUUCAAGCAAACAAACAUUAAUAUGUGUUGUGAUUUUCUUAAUAAUGCUACAAUUUGCUAUGUUUUACAUGCUUUGUUUGUGAGAAUUUUUGUAAUAAAUGCCAUAGUGUGGUAAAUAAAAGAAAACUUUCAAUUUUUACCGAAAUCGGAUCCAUGGUAAGACUAAAUUUUGAGUAGUUUCAAUCCAAAAGCUACUGAUAGCGAAUUAGUUAAAAUCACUCAAAGCGAAGUCUUUCUGGAAUGACUCAAUUUUGAAUACUUUGCAAAAAACUCAAUUUUGACUCGUUCUACUUAGCUGUCAAGAUGAGUGAAAAAGACCUAAUUUUGAGUUGUUUCGGUUCUCCGUGCAUUCAUAAACAAUGUUGGCUCAGUGAAUUCACGUUCC